AUUGAACGCUGGCGGCAUGCCUUACACAUGCAAGUCGAACGGCAGCGGGGACUUCGGUCCGCCGGCGAGAGGCGAACGGGUGAGUAAUGUAUCGGAACGUACCAUUGAGUGGGGGAUAACUAUCCGAAAGGAUAGCUAAUACCGCAUAUUCUCUCCGGAGGAAAGCAGGGGACCGCAAGGCCUUGCGCUCAUUGAGCGGCCGAUAUCAGAUUAGCUAGUUGGUGGGGUAAAAGCUCACCAAGGCGACGAUCUGUAGCGGGUCUGAGAGGAUGUUCCGCCAAACUGGGACUGAGACACGGUCCAGACUCCUACGGGAGGCAGCAGUGGGGAAUUUUGGACAAUGGGGGCAACCCUGAUCCAGCCAUGCCGCGCGAGUGAAGAAGGCCUUCGGGUUGUAAAGCUCUUUCGGCCGGGAAAAAAUCGCAUGGGCUAAUAUCCUGUGUGGAUGAUGGUACCGGAAUAAGAAGCACCGGCUAACUACGUGCCAGCCGCCGCGGUAACAC
rnacentral:rRNA from 1 species